GGGGCUACAGCUCAGUGGUAGAGUGCCUGCUUAGCACACACUAGGUCCUGGGUUCAAUCCCUAGUAUCUCCA
rnacentral:tRNA from 1 species